CAGCAGCCACGGGAAUACGAGGGGGGCAAGCGUUGUUCGGAAUUAUUGGGCGUAAAGGGUGCGUAGGCGGCUUGACAAGUCUUGUGUGAAAUCUAUGGGCUCAACCCAUAGUCUGCACGGGAAACUGUCGGGCUUGAGAAUGGGAGAGGUGAGUGGAAUUUCCGGUGUAGCGGUGCAAUGCGUAGAUAUCGGAAGGAACACCUGUGGCGAAAGCGGCUCACUGGACCAUUUCUGACGCUGAUGCACGAAAGCUAGGGGAGCAAACAGGAUUAGAUACCCGCGUAGUCCCUGUCUCUUAUAA
rnacentral:rRNA from 1 species